AGAGAUGUGUGAUGACGCAUAUCAAUAAGCGGAGGAAAAGAAACUAACAAGGAUUCCCUUAGUAACGGCGAGUGAAGCGGGAAGAGCUCAAAUUUGAAAUCUUCAAGGUUCUACCUUGACGAAUUGUAGUUUAUAGAAGUGUUUUCUGUUAGUGGAGUGGCAAAAGUUCUUUGGAAUAGGACAUCAUAGAGGGUGAGAAUCCCGUAUUUGGUCAUUCCUCCUAGCGUUGUGAUACACUUUCAACGAGUCGGAUUGUUUGGGAAUGCAGUCCAAAAUGGGUGGUAAAUUUCAUCUAAAGCUAAAUAUUGGCGAGAGACCGAUAGCGAACAAGUACCGUGAGGGAAAGAUGAAAAGAACUUUGAAAAGAGAGUUAAACAGUACGUGAAAUUGUCAGAAGGGAAGCGUUUGACACCAGUGUUGUUUUUCCGAAAAUCAAUUACGAAUGUUUUAUUUUUGAGAGAGUUAUGACUUCAUCGGCUUGCUUCUUUCUUUACGAAACUUUCUUAAUGCACUUUUCGGUUAACAAGUCAACAUCAAUUUCUUUUGUUGUAAAAGGGUAUGAGGAAGGUGGCUUUCUUUUCGGAGAAAGUGUUUAUAGCCUUGUAGCCUCUGCAAUCGGAGAGAUUGAGGUCUGCAGCGUAGACUCUUCGGGGUUAGAUACAGUUUGUGCUAAGUUAUAGCUUUUCAUAGACGACUUGUUGACUAUGUUUAGUCUUGUAGCUUACUCGCUUAUGCUAUUUACCUACGCUUAGGAUGUUGACGAUCAGCUGAGCGCG
rnacentral:rRNA from 1 species